GACGAACGCUGGCGGCGUGCUUAACACAUGCAAGUCGAACGGAAAGGCCUGCAGCUUGCUGCGGGUACUCGAGUGGCGAACGGGUGAGUAACACGUGGGUGAUCUGCCUUGCACUUCGGGAUAAGCUUGGGAAACUGGGUCUAAUACCGGAUAGGACAGCUGUUUAGUGUCAGUUGUGGAAAGUUUUUUCGGUGCAAGAUGAGCUCGCGGCCUAUCAGCUUGUUGGUGGGGUAAUGGCCUACCAAGGCGUCGACGGGUAGCCGGCCUGAGAGGGUGUACGGCCACAUUGGGACUGAGAUACGGCCCAGACUCCUACGGGAGGCAGCAGUGGGGAAUAUUGCACAAUGGGCGGAAGCCUGAUGCAGCGACGCCGCGUGGGGGAUGAAGGCCUUCGGGUUGUAAACUCCUUUCGACAGGGACGAAGCUUUUGUGACGGUACCUGUACAAGAAGCACCGGCUAACUACGUG
rnacentral:rRNA from 1 species